rnacentral:rRNA from 1 species
AUCGCUAGUAAUCGCGGAUCAGCAUGUCGCGGUGAAUACGUUCCCGGGUCUUGUACACACCGCCCGUCACACCAUGGGAGUGGGUUUUACCAGAAGUAGUUAGCCUAACCGUAAGGGGGGCGAUUACCACGGUAGGAUUCAUGACUGGGGUGAAGUCGUAACAAGGUAGCCGUAUCGGAAGGUGCGGCUGGAUCACCUCCUUU